UAAGUUUUACCAUCAAUGUAAAAGGGGAGCCAUAAUCGUAAAAACAAUCCAAAAUUUGUUCAUCAGUCUGCAAAUCUGCAGGUAUCAUAUGCUCUAUUGACCCUGAAUUUACAAAAACUCUAUCAAAAUUCAAAUCUUUUAAUUUUACACAAGAACAGAGUUUUCACAAGAAGAUGACAAACAGAAACACGUAUAUGAUUAAUGUAUGUAAUGUUUAUCCAAUUACAUUUUCGACUAUGGCUGUGGCAGGGACCUAGCUUAUCUUGGAGGGGAAGACCAUAUUAUUAUCUGAAUCUCCUGAAACCAAAAUCUGUGAAUCUCCAAAGGUGGUGAAGAGGUCGAGAUUUGGGUUUGAAUUUAUUCAAAGAGAUUUCUAGUUGUUUUUUUGUUGCUGAUCAAACAUCAUUNNN
rnacentral:lncRNA from 1 species